rnacentral:rRNA from 2 species
AAACUUUCAACAACGGAUCUCUUGGUUCUCGCAUCGAUGAAGAACGCAGCGAAACGCGAUAGUUAAUGUGAAUUGCAGAAUUCAGUGAAUCAUCGAGUCUUUGAACGCACAUUGCGCCUAUUGGUAUUCCAUUAGGCAUGUCUGUUUGAGCGUCAUU